GAUCUCGCAGGCUCGAGGGGCCUCGCUAAGGUACGCUUCUGCGGGCUUCGGCCGGCUAUAUCAGAAAACGUUCAAAACGUCUUGGAAGCAGAGCGCCUGGGUGAGUGUUACAUAACCAACCAGCAGGCAGGCAGCAUACUAACCACUGCUAAACGUCAAACCCACACUUAGGGCUUCACGGCGCUGGACUGAGACCUUUUGUCCACGGAUCUCUUCAUUCAGAGCAGCGCGGCAGGUAGAAAGUUGGACGUGGGGGAUGGACCCCAGAAAAGUUGCAAGGAAGCAUCUACCUCUUGUUUUUAAGACCUACGGUCCCUGGAAAGCUAUUUCCCUCGGAAGAUGGAUGUGGACGCUGCAUUUGGGGCAAAGAGAAUGUUCUGUUUCCACACGCCUCUCUGCUGAGUGUUUUCGGCAGACGUGGAUGUGCUGUGGUUUGAACGCCAGGUCCUGCCCCGAGUCUGCUUCGUGAAAGGCUUUGACUUCUGGGCUCAGGGGCAGAUUGUUUAUAUUAUUAUGUGCGUUACAAAGCAGACUUCUUUCUGCAAAGACAAGGCAAAGGUGAGGAGUAGAGUCUGUGUAUCUGAGAA